GAUCAUGGCUCAGAACGAACGCUGGCGGCAUGCCUAACACAUGCAAGUCGAACGAAGGCCCUGACUUCGGUUGGGUCCUUAGUGGCGCACGGGUGCGUAACGCGUGGGAAUCUGCCCUUGGGUUCGGAAUAACAGCGGGAAACUGCUGCUAAUACCGGAUGAAGACGAAAGUCCAAAGAUUUAUCGUCCUGAGGAUGAGCCCGCGUUCGGAUUAGGUAGUUGGUGGGGUAAGGGCGUACCAACGCCGACGAUCCAUAG
rnacentral:rRNA from 1 species